rnacentral:lncRNA from 1 species
UUGGAUAAAACCAACUCCUAUAAGGAAAAGACAAAAUACCAUAAAGGAAUAGACCAACAGCUAUCCAAUAUCCUAAUAUCCUAACAUAUUGCUCCUCCGUGUACGACGACAUUUGGGUUUCUUGUUUUUAGUUUAAAGUUUUGGUAUUUGUUGGUAUUUUUGGGUUUUUGAGGUUGGUUUUGAUGGUGGGUUGUGUUUGGUUUCUGCAGAAUCUAACAACUGCGGAAGUGCGGCGGUUUCUAGGACUGUUGGAGCGGUGGCGUCGCAGCGGAAAAUCUGGGUGGAUAAGUUUUUGAAUUCAGAGAAUGAGAAAUCUGAUUACGGCUGAAGAGUAAAUUAUUGUCAAGUUUAAGUCUUUGAUUUUAUUCUUAUUUUUUGUGGGAUUAAAUUUUUGUAAGACUAAUCAAAGUUUUAAGUCCUUGGUUAUGGUAACUUGUUGAGUUGAUGAAGAAAAUUGUUGGGUUGCUAAAUUGGGUGGGAUUAAUUUAUCAUUGUCUAAUGAAUUGUGAGGAAAUUAAUUUUGGGGCAUUGAUUUAAACAAAUUGCAUAAUGGGAGUUUAGUGUUCCUGCAUAACUAUGUUUGAAUUAUAAAAGCAAAAGAACAAACUCGAGAGUCUGCUACACGUGGAGUAAGUUUCUUUAUGUUUUGUUAUACUACCACAUUGAACUUCAGAUCAGGGUUCUAUACUGCCACAGUGAAUUCUAGGAUCAUGUUGCAGAGAAAGGUUCUGGUUGGAAGAGUUGUGACAUAAGGUAUUACUAUCUUUCUUAUUUGAAAUGUGUAAAUGAUAUUUCUAUCAUGGCGUACAUGACUAGUUGACUACCUAAGUGUUAUUUGGAGAAGGAGAAUUAAAGAUGGUUCCUUUGCUGGAUGUUGAAUAGAGUUGGUAUGUACUGUAUUUGAUGCUAAAUGAAGUUUCAAUGUUCCUUGACUCUUUGGUCCUUAUAAUUUUAGGUGCUGCGAGAGAUUGCUUACCAGUUACUGUUAGAACCAAUCAAAUGUCAAGUAUAUAAUAUAUAACAAUUUGCACAGUUUAUUUCUAUUGAAAAAUUCAACAACAGAUACAAUAUAUCAAAAUAUAAACACUUAAUGAAAUUGCAUAUAAAAUCACAAAUCACUUACUUGUUCUUUGAAGAUAAAGGCUUGUAGAAGUAAUCUCCUAAGAUAGAAAUUCGUCCCUACACCAGUGCAACAGUUCAAUAGACGUCUAUCUUGCAGGAUACAACUAUCUAACCCAAGUUCUUGCACUCGAACUUGGAUUCUUGGCGAAUUGGUUGUGGUGUUUCUCUGUGAAGUGUGAAAAGGAAGCGAUGGAAUUGUUGUAUUGGUUUCUGAUUUGACAGCCAUAUAUAUAAUGGCGCAAUGGAGCAGUUAAAGCCGUUCAUGUUUAUCUUUAAGAACGGUUGUAACUGUUCACAUGAUCAGUUUUAUCCUUUCGGAAAAAACUGAUUGCAAAAAUAAAAAACGUAAAAAUGAUACUUGGGUUUUUUGUCCAUCUGAGCCCCAAGGCCCAAGGUCCAUCUUUGACAUUUAAUAUAUACACCCAAACCCUCCAAGUUUAAGGCCCAAGGUCCAUGGCUUUGGCCCAAUUCUUUUUAAACUAUAAGUGAGUGAACUCACUUAUAAAGGUGACUUUAAAAAAGGUUUUGGGCGAUGUGGGAUUGGGAGUCCCCCACAAGUUCCAACAAUACUCCACAUUUUCUAUUCAAACUCUAGCAAUACCCCAUAUUUGAAUAGAAAAUAAGAUUCUAACUAAAUUAGUAACGUCUAUCUAGAGAACUUAGAUAUGAUACGCAUCGGGAUAGGUGUCUUUUGGAGUUGAACCUUCUUUAGUGAGUACUUAUUGGAUUUACCUAAUGAAACAGUGAAUUUAAUAUCUUGAACUGAUCAUUCUUAGUAGUAAAUCGAAACAAUAAGUAUCACAUAUAUCACAUCGUGACACACUUCAAUUCAUACGGUUGUUUUCAUUUUGGUCCUGAACAUAUCCUGAUUUCAUGAGACCUUUAGAGAAUUGUAGUCAUACCAAUUCUCAAAGAUGCGACCCUACAUCAAUCUUGUUGAUGCACAAAAUCAGUGGGGACUUUGGUAUAAUAGAAAGUGUUAAGUUUGUGACAUUCGCUAG